AUUAAGCCAUGCAAGUGUUAGUUCAGGUAACGAAACUGCGAAUAGCUCAUUAAUACGCUCAGAAUCUAUUUGGCGGCGACCAACAGGUCUUAAAUGGAUAGCAGCAGCAACUCUGGUGCUAAUACAUGCGAUUGUUUCUCCAGAUGUGAAUUAUGGAGGAAAAGUUGACCUCAUCAGAGGCACGCCAUUCGACUGAGUGACCUAUCAGCUUGUACUUAGGGUCUUUACCUAGGUAGGCUAUCACGGGUAACGGGCGGUUACCGUCGGACUGCCGGAGAAGGCGCCUGAGAGAUAGCGACUAUAUCCACGGGUAGCAGCAGGCGCGAAACUUUCCCACUCGAGACUUUCGGAGGAGGUAAUGACCAGUUCCAUUGGUGCCUUUUGGUACUGUGGAUAGGGGUACGGUUUUCCACCGUACCGAAACCUAGCAGAGGGCCAGUCUGGUGCCAGCAGCUGCGGUAAUUCCAGCUCUGCGAGUUUGCUCCCAUAUUGUUGCAGUUAAAACGCCCGUAGUCUGAAUUGGCCAGCAAUGGUCGUACGUAUUUUUACGUUCACUGUGAACAAAUCAGGACGCUUAGAGUAUGGCCACAUGAAUGACUCAGCGCAGUAUGAAGUCUUUGUUUUCUUCCGAAAACAAGCUCAAUGAGAGCCAUCGGGGGUAGAUCUAUCUCAUGACGAGUGGUGGAAUACUUUGACUCAUGAGAGAGAAGCUGAGGCGAAGGCGUCUACCUAGAGGGUUUCUGUCGAUCAAGGGCGAGAGUAGGAGUAUCCAACAGGAUUAGAGACCCUGGUAGUUCCUACCUUAAACGAUGCCGACAGGAGUUUGUCAUUUGUUAAUGGCAGAAUCUUUGGAGAAAUCAUAGUUCUUGGGCUCUGGGGGAACUACGACCGCAAGGCUGAAACUUGAACGAAUUGACGGAACGGCACACCAGGGGUGGAGCCUGUGGCUUAAUUUGAAUCAACACGGGGAAACUUACCAGGACCAGAUGUUUUUAUGACUGACAGGCUCGGGUCUUUCAGGAUAUUGUUUUUGGUGGUGCAUGCCGAUGGUGGUGCGUGGGAUGACCUGUCUAGCGUUGAAUCAGC
rnacentral:ncRNA from 2 species